CCUACGGGGGGCUGCAGUGGGGAAUAUUGCACAAUGGGCGAAAGCCUGAUGCAGCGACGCCGCGUGAGGGAAGAAGGCCUUCGGGUCGUAAACCUCUGUCCAAGGGGAAGAAAAAAAUGACGGUACCCUUGGAGGAAGCCCCGGCUAACUACGUGCCAGCAGCCGCGGUAAUACGUAGGGGGCAAGCGUUAUCCGGAAUUACUGGGCGUAAAGAGUGCGUAGGUGGCUGCUCAAGCGCGGGGUUUAAGACAACGGCCCAACCGUUGUCCGCCCCGCGAACUGGGUAGCUUGAGUACAGGAGAGGAAGGCGGAAUUCCUAGUGUAGCGGUGAAAUGCGUAGAUAUUAGGAGGAACACCGGUGGCGAAGGCGGCCUUCUGGACUGUCACUGACACUGAGGCACGAAAGCGUGGGUAGCAAACAGGAUUAGAUACCCCAGUAGUC
rnacentral:rRNA from 2 species